UGUGUUCUGGAAUAUGCGCUAAGCUCUUCUUUUGAACCUACAUUAAAGCUAAGGGAAUCCAAUAUCUAGAUAGAUAAAUGUACUCACCUGUGAGACCUUUAACGGCAUUGAGAGCGAUUGAAUGAUCUGUGAGGAUACCCACCUAUCGAGAGAUAGGUGUCAAAAUAAGGGCACCGGUAUUUCGGACAUGAU
rnacentral:other from 1 species